ACCGUGAGGUGGAAUCUGAAGGAAGGUGCAGGCAAAUCUCUGACCUGACGAACAGAAACCGCAUAAGGCCAAUUCGGGAUGGAUAAGGGAGUAAAACAGACUGAAGUCCCAUAAUGACUCGGAAUCCCCAAGGGUAGAUGCGGCAGGUGGGUGGAGAGAAAGAGUG
rnacentral:ncRNA from 1 species